rnacentral:rRNA from 1 species
CCAAUAGCGUAUAUUAAAGUUGUUGCAGUUAAAAAGCUCGUAGUUGAAUUUCGGGGUUCAUCCAUUGGUCAGGCUUAAUUGUCUGUACUGGUGUGAUGAAUCUCUACCUUCUGAGGAACUUUCAUGCCAUUUAUUUGGUGUGAUGGGAAAUCAGGACUGUUACUUUGAAAAAAUUAGAGUGUUUAAAGCAGGCUAACGUCUGAAUACAUUAGCAUGGAAUAAUGAAAUAGGACGGACUGAUUCUAUUUCGUUGGUUUCUAGGAUCACCGUAAUGAUUAAUAGGGAUAGUUGGGGGCAUUAGUAUUCAAUUGUCAGAGGUGAAAUUCUUGGAUUUAUUGAAGACUAACUACUGCGAAAGCAUUUGCCAAGGAUGUUUUCAUUAAUCAAGAACGAAAGUUAGGGGAUCGAAGACGAUCAGAUACCGUCGUAGUCUUAACCAUAAACUAUGCCGACUAGGGAUCGGACGAAGUUAAUUUUAUAAUGACGCGUUCAGCACCUUACG